rnacentral:rRNA from 1 species
GACGAACGCUGGCGGCGUGCCUAAUACAUGCAAGUAGAACGCUGAGGUUUGGUGUUUACACUAGACUGAUGAGUUGCGAACGGGUGAGUAACGCGUAGGUAACCUGCCUCAUAGCGGGGGAUAACUAUUGGAAACGAUAGCUAAUACCGCAUAAGAGUAAUUAACACAUGUUAGUUAUUUAAAAGGAGCAAUUGCUUCACUGUGAGAUGGACCUGCGUUGUAUUAGCUAGUUGGUGAGGUAAAGGCUCACCAAGGCGACGGUACAUAGCCGACCUGAGAGGGUGAACGGCCACAAGGGGACUGAGACACGGCCCUUACUCCUACGGGAGGCAGCAGUGGGGAAUAUUGGACAAUGGACCGAGAGUCUGAUCCAGCAAUUCUGUGUGCACGAUGAAGUUUUUCGGAAUGUAAAGUGCUUUCAGUUGGGAAGAAAGAAAUGACGGUACCAACAGAAGAAGUGACGGCUAAAUACGUGCCAGCAGCCGCGGUAAUACGUAUGUCACGAGCGUUAUCCGGAUUUAUUGGGCGUAAAGCGCGUCUAGGUGGUUAUGUAAGUCUGAUGUGAAAAUGCAGGGCUCAACUCUGUAUUGCGUUGGAAACUGUAUAACUAGAGUACUGGAGAGGUAAGCGGAACUACAAGUGUAGAGGUGAAAUUCGUAGAUAUUUGUAGGAAUGCCGAUGGGGAAGCCAGCUUACUGGACAGAUACUGACGCUAAAGCGCGAAAGCGUGGGUAGCAAACAGG